GUGUUUUGACUUAAGUCUGUAUGGAUUGAAUAAACGUUAGCAUUUUCAAUCAAAAUUGUGCUCGAACGUGUCAAACUCAGUAUCCUGAGCGUGAAGUGAGUUCUCAGUGCUGCGUUAUUGGAGCUGCUGUGACUGUUGAUGAUCGUUCUUCAUUUGUUUAAAGAAGUGGAGGGAAAGAACACAAGCUGAGUGGU
rnacentral:snoRNA from 1 species